GGAACGAGGAGGGAAGUAAAAUGUGAGAAUCCAGUCUGAAGAUGGGGUAGAGAGGGAGGUGCUUCCCCUGAGAGCCCCCGUGCUAGACUGAGUGAAAAAGGAAAGCCGCUGAUGGCAUUUAAGUAGCUGGGUCACUCAAUUACAUUUAAUUUGUAGCUUGAUUGCUCUGAUGUCUCCAUGCAGGGUGGAUUUGAAGAAGCCUUGAACAGAGAGAAUGGCUGUUACAGAGGAUCAGCUGAGAGACUGGAAGCUCCUGGGGAAAUGACGCUACCAUUGCCCCCUAAAACACAAGGCAGAAGUGGAGUUCAACAUACAGGUGGCUUUGGACAAGGUUGCUGCUGAUCAUGGUUCCUAAAUAAGCCUUUGGGUUCAUUUCCUGAUCUGUAAUCAAGGAACAAAGGGAUUGUGCUCUAAUAUUUUUUAUUAUAAAAUUCAGUGACUCUAUGUGUCAUGUGAUUAUCUACCUUAUCUAUUAUCUACCUAUCUAUCUGUCAUCUGUCAUCUAUCUACCUAUCUCUCUUUCCUAUCUAUCCACCCAUCUAUCUAAUCUAUCUCCUUACAUACACAUUUAUCCCUCGUAAUGUUAACAGAUACCAAGAGAAACAGUGUUCGUAUUUUGAAUACUCUGAGGAUGCUGCAAAACAGAGUUUAAGGUAAUAAAAAAAGCACACAUACACAUCUACAUGUAGACUCUUUCAGAAACUACUCCUGGGCCUUCCCUCUGCUCUUCUCUUUCUCCAAGGCUAUAGCAGGUUGAGGUCAUAAAGAGGCCUGAGAAGAGCGAGUGAUGCAGGGUCGAUAUUCAGGUCAGGUUGGAAGGGGUGCAGCCAGGUGUGCCCUGGCGUUCUAUGAGCUUCCGGGAUGUGAUACUUGCCAGGUCUCAUCAGUGAACACCAUAAAGCUUUUUAUUGAGAAGAAAAUUGUUGCUAACUACUAAAGUUACUUACAAAAUGUUUGUUGAAUAAGUGAGGGAGAGAGGGAGGAAAAGAAAAAGAGGAAGAACAGAGAAGAAAGUUGGUGGGGAGAGGCUAGUGGAAGCUCUGACAGCAUGUUUUGAACCCUCAGAAGACUGGGAAGGUUAAACUGUAUCGACAGGCAUCUUGCUUUCCCCAGCCUUGCUUACAGUGGAUGCUCAAUACAGACUUGAGUGAUUAAUACAGUGACGAGAAAAAUGGAACUGCAACCUUUUAAUUUCUUAAUUGGUGGCCAUAACGUGAUGGCUGACUGCCAAAAGGCUAAUGGUUGUCUGCAUUCGGGUGAUAUUUUUCUAAAGGCUGUCUCUCUGCCAUCUUCUCCUCAAGCCACUUGGACUCCCUCAUUACCGCCCCAUGGGGAUUCCUCCUCUCACUGUGUGUCAGCCUCAAAGAGAAAAUGAUUCAGCAGGGACUUGGGUUCCUGUACUGCUAGGUGCUUCUCCAUAUGGUCUAACGAUUCCUUGCCUCGGAGGAUCCACCUCAGACACGUCAGGACACCAGACACCAGAACCUGGGAGGUAUGGGUAUGUAGAUCUGAACUAGACAUUUUUCAGCAUUUCUCAGAGAGAGACAAUAUUUUGGCAGAACAUUUCUAGGGGAUGGGGAGUCUGAUGAUGGUGGGGUGCCAUGUGAAUCUUAGGAGUGGCACCCAUCAUGAGCUAGAGGAUUUUAGGUCUAACAGAUGUUGCUACCCCUGUUAGUUUCCUCAGGAUCUAAAACCUGUCAUUUGGAAAGUGGACUUAUGUGUGGUUGUGUUCUCUAAGACAAAGUUCUCUUCAUUCUCCUUUAGUUUUUAUAGGUGUUUUGAGAUUUCCACCUUUCUGAACUGUGCUGAGAAAGACAAAGGUAUGGAUGCAUCAGAGAUGCCCUUGAGUGCAAGUUUUUAAGGAAGAGCAGCAUACACUUAGCAUGUUGGGGGCAGUGGGAGAAACCCGAGGGGCAGAACCUGGAGAUACUGAAGCUCCCUGAUUCUCCCUUCCAAGGUGUGAGCGAGCAGGCUGCUCCUGUCCUGGAGGUUUUGUGCCUGCAUCCUCAUAGCCUCACCAAGUCUCCACGAUGGACUCCCGUGCCUACUUCUGACCACUCCCCUCUUCUCUUCUGUUCUUAGGUUAACUCGCCUUGCCCAGCCCUCCUAUGUAGAAGAAAGAUCAGACAAAGCCUUCGGUCUGUUCCUUGCCAUUAUCCAGCCAGGCUGCCCUCCCAAUGGCUGCAUUGGCACGAGCGCCCAUGUCAGAGCUGUGAACAGUUUCCUUGUCGAGGCCAAGUGGGAUUACAGACUUGGAUUCCUGUCUGUGCCCUUAUUCUAAGAACCCAGGGUUUCUAGUGCAUUUCCACACAUGUGGUUAGGGAUGGGAAUAGGAACAUGCAUUUUAAAUGACAGAGAGAAACAGCAAGAAAGGUUUAAUAAAAUCAGGUAGAAAUCAAGAUUAUGGGGACUAUUCUGCUCACACAGUUAUUGUAACCGCUGAGCUAUCAUCAGGAAGAAGUUAGCUCACAAACCUAUUGUUUAGCUACUGGCGCAUUCCAGAAAGAGUGACUGUAAGUGUUGGUAGUACUUUAGGGUGAAUUAUCUUUUCCUUUGGUACUUUCUGCCUCCUUCCAUAGCAGACAUUCAUCUUCUGUACAUGUGGACAUAAUGAGCGCAGAAAAUGCUAAGCCUGGAGAGUGUGGGGUGGCUCUGGCAUGCAGUCCUGUUGGGACAAAUAUUGUAGAAAGUCCAGACUCCCCACUGGAAGUCAGUGUCAGAAGAGAGGCUCCAAUCCCACUAGAAAUAAAUCUUUUUCUUUGUGAUAAACCUAAAGAACAACACUCGCUACUUCCAGAAAAUCUUCCUUAGAGGUAUUCAGAGGAAUGAGAAAUACAGUGCUGUGGUGUACUAAAAUAUUGCCAUGAUGAAUACUAAACUUUUGAAUUUGAAAUAUUAUGAAAUUCAACAGACAUCAAAACUUUUGCAGAAAACCACAUGAUAUCUGUAGAGCUCCACAUGCACUAAAACAUUAUUUUUUCAGAUGAUAAUAUUCGAAAGCAACGAGAAUCUUAAAAACUCUCCAGGGAAACGGUCACAUUGGCUGCCCUUGCAAUGAAUUUGUCAACAUGUUUUAUUUGGCUUUAACAUUUUAAAUAUAAAUGUCUUCAGUUUUGCUAUCAAGUCCUGUUUCCUCACAACCCUGUCUGGUUUCACUCAUUUCCAGUUCCUUCUUGUCUCCUCCUGGAUGUUAUUAAUCUGAUGCUUGAUUGGUACUCAGUGUCUUUAUUUUAAAGGUGAAGGUCCAGAGAGGUGAAGUGAUUGAACUAAAGCCGCAGAGCCAAUUAAUGCCCAAGCAAAGAUGAACACGCCCUCCUCCACCGUGUGGAGGAACUCAUCCUCCUUUCACCGAAGGAUGCUCUCUCCUUAUUUUUUAAUCCUACCAACAAAGAACGGAGCUAUUCUGAUGUAUUUUUAAAUAGCAUGCUAUUUUAGACUGCUGUAGAAAUUCAUAAAUAUAUAAAAUGAUAUCUGCAGAAUGACAACCCUGGACCAAUAUCUAAACAAGAACCUUUAACUUCCGAUGACUCCCUCAUUUGGGUGGGUAGGGAUGGGGCAAAGGUGCAUGGCGAGGGUGCUUGGUGGCCCAUGGCAGUCCUCCUCACCUCCCUCUCUAAAGUUGCUCUGGGGUGAGCAGGUGUGGGGUCAGGUCUACUUCUGGGAACGCUUUUUGCUGUAGGCAGCCCUUUUGGAGAUAGAGGGAGGUUUUGAAAAGGAGAGGAAAGUUUUAUCCCUUCCAUCCUCUGAAAGUGCGCAUAUCCCUGGUGGGGAUAUCAGGGUUUUAUUCUGUAUAUAAAAACAAAUUUUGUAUCUGUUAUCACAUUUCUUUAAAAAGACUAGAUAGAUUUUCACUAAAGCCAGGGGACAGUUUGGGUUGGGCUGAUUUCAAAUAAUGCUGUGACACAUACAUGGGGGAUGUCAAAGAGAUUAACCCCUGAGAGGUGUGACUGGAGGAGCCCUUGGAUGGUUCCCACCCUCAGGGAUGAUGAGUGGCUGCAGGCUCCCACUGAGUAGCCCGUGAGUCCUACCUAGAAUCUGCUAAGGUCUGAAUCAGCAUCUGAAACUGGACCAAGACACCGAGGUUUUUAAGGACUUGCAGUGAAGCUGGAAGACCAUUGAUGAAGGGCUUAGCUGAAAAUGAGCUGACUGUGACAAUGGGACUUAGAAUGCACCCACGGGCUUGGGAGUCGUGUGCACUUGCUUGCAUUCCUGUGUGUGCACCCAUGUGUGUGUGCAUGUGUGGUGGGGUGCAGUGGCAGGAAGUAGUUCCUAGAAAAAAAAAAAACAUUGAACUUCGUUAAGGGCACAGCUCCAGUGGAGGCAAGGUCACAGCCCACUAACAGUAUUCAACCUGGUUGUUCCUGACUGUGCCACUUGGCCACCUGUUGCUUUCAGGUCACAAGCUUCCAAGCCCCAACCUAACCCACAGCAGACAGAUGCUUGUUUUAAUGUGGUUGUGCUGCUCCCAGGUAGGAGCUGGCAAUCUUUUGAAUAAAGCAGUGAGAAGGGCUCUGGCUUUCCCUGCAUUGUUUCCUGAAAACUUUUCCACUGAGAUUACACAAUAGAGGAAAGAAUAAUUGCGGCAAGAGAAAGUUUAAAUACUACUCAUAUUAUUUACGCAAACACAGAGUCUGCCAAAGAAGUACAGUGAAUGUCCACAAAACUUCCUCUCAAAGAUUUUUCCCUUGAAAUUAAAGAGAAUAAUUGAGGCAAAAAGUUAAUUUUCUUUUGAGUUACCUGGAAUAUUGCCUUGUUUUCUGCUUUUUUGUGCAGACAUAGAAUUAGGCCAGUCAAUCGUAGAGAAAAUGUGGAGAAAUACUCAUCUUUGAAUAAAAAGACUGGCUUUGAAAAUUAACCUAAAUUUGUUUUAUCUUACACUGUUCUAUGCAAACUACUGCCCUGCAAAUGAAAGUGUGACAGUGGUUAUUGUCAGACAUGGGAAAAUAUAUUCAAAGAGAUUUCCUGGUAGAUUUCAUGCUUUAUUUUAUACUGAAUACAAUUUAGCCCAUUACAAUAGUUGGAAAAUCCAAAGGUAAAUACAUGUAAAGUCUUUAAAGCAUGAUUUUAGUUUUUAAAGUACUGUUAAGCCUCACUAAUUUAUUUUAAAAAACAAACAAGGCUGGAAUGCCAAUAUUAACACCAACAUUUGCAUUCAGAAUCCAUUCUCCUUUGAAGAAAUCACCACACAAAUAUUUCCAGUUCCGCUUUACCUCCCUGUCCUAAAGUCAAUAUCCAGGAGUGAGAAAUGAAACAGAGGAUAGAGAUGCCGGCUCUAACUAUGACUGUGAAAUAGAUGGAACUUUUCUUCAGGUCCUUUCUUCUGGGCUGUUCUUUUUCUCUCCCAUCCCUUGGGGACUCUGGUGACAUUCCUCUCUUCCCUUUAGCCAGCUGAAGCUCUCAAAUUGAUCCCCAAUUACCCCAAGUUUUCCGUGACAUUGAUUUCAUCCUCUGCAAAAAAAAAAAAAAAAAAACCAAACAAAAAAAAAACACAAAAAAACCUUCCCCUUGCCCUCUGUCCCAACAAAAUGUUUGCAGGGCAUCUACCCAGUCCAGGUGAUAAAGAAGUGAAAAUAAGGCAGAGCUUUGCCACUGGGGCUCUUCCCCAGCCAAACAGCACACGCAUCUCAGAAGAGGCCUUGAGCCCCCAGAAAGAUUGAGUCGUGUAAAAAUGAGCAGCACUAUUAUCAGGGUCAGUGGUAAAACAUUUUGUGGAAGGGCAUGUUAUGAACUGAAUGUGUCCUUUUGAAAUUCCUGUGUUAAAACCCUAAUACCCCCAUGGUAUUAGGAGGUGGUCAGGACGUGAGGAAGGACCCCCAUGAAUGGGAUGACUCUCCUUAUAAAAAGAGACAGGAGGGAACCCACUUCCUCUCUCUCUGCUCUCCUCCAUGUGAGGAUAUAGUGAGAAGGCUGCCUGUAAACCAGAAAGUGGGCCCUCAGCAGACAGUGGGUUUUUCAAUACCAUGGACUGUCCAGUCUUGAGAACUGUGAGAAAUAAAUGUCUGUUGUUGAAGCCACCCAGUCCAUGGUGAUUUGUUGUAGCCGCCAGAACAGACUAAGAUUUAAGGCAGUUUUUUCACUGUUCCUUAGGUCAUACCUCCUGGAUGAUGGCUCAGCUUCCAGCUUUCCACCUAGACCUAGUGUAGGCAAGAUGGGCCCCAUCUACCUAAAAGCCUCCCAACUUGUUCUCCGUCCUCAUCACUUGCUUUUCCAGCCCACUUGUCCCACACAUUCUGGUGAAUGACCAUCUUUCUGCAGGUGAAUGACAGGCCAUUCUCCUCUCAAAGACCCUCACUGAUUUCCCAUCACCUAUCUAUGAAUUCCAGACUCCUUAUUCUGUCUCUCUAGAUGGCCUGUGGGCUGGGUCCAUCUGCUUCCCCAGCCUUCUGUUUGACUGCACCCUGGUACACAUCCUGUGCUCUCAUGACGCCACAUGACUUAUGAUUUCUCAAUCAAUUCCUCACUUUUCUACUUCAUGGUCAUGCCUUUCCUGGACUCUCUCUGCCUCCAUUCUCUGCUUGCAAACUGUCCAUUCAUGUGCUGCUUUCUCCAUGGGAAUGCAGCGUGAGCCCCGAUCCAAUCAACUUGAGCUCCCAGAGCAUGUGCCCCAUCUUCCUCAGUGGUUCUCAUGGGAAGAGGUGCUUGUCACAAUUAUUUGAGGAGUUUCCUCGAACAAUUCCUAACUUUCCUUUCCUUCUCCCAAAAUCACUUCAUAAAGCUCCUCAGUGAUUCGCUACCUCCCUGAGGUGGAAAGAUUGCACACUAUUGCUUUGAUUAUUCAAGAGGUCUCAUUACCUGAAUAUUCAUAAUCCCAGGCAUUAUAAUUAUAGCACUCCACAGAGAAGUAAAAUAUUAUCAAUAAAUUGACCACUUACACAAUUAGCUCCCUCAAUCAUGCCUCCCUGACUAAUACUAUCUUGGUAGUAUCUGCUGGAAAGCCUAGCUGAUUUUUGGAUGGCAUUUCAAUGCAAAGUGAUUACAAAAUGAAGAUGAAAAGAUGGAGAAUUUCAUGAAGUUGAUUAAACCGAUGCUGGUGAUGCUGGGGAACUCUAAAUCACAAGCAAGAAAAGUGAAAAUCAGUGUAUGAAGGCCAGAUAAUUGAAGAAAAAAUCUAAAAGUGAUAAUUAAUGUCAUGGUAGCUCCUCCUAGAGAGAAUGAUUUGAAGAGAAUUGAGUAAGAAAUGCUUAUGGAAUAGCUGGUGAAACUUGUGUGUGUGUUUAAAUAACUCUCUUUAUGAGCAUGCUGUGAAAGCCAAAGAGGAAGUGAAAGAUAUUUCGCCAUGCCAGUAUAUAAACUGUUGAUAAGAUGAUGCCCAUACCCUCCAUCAAUGUGUAAUUAUUUGUUCUAUGAAUCAGUGUACGGUGUAAGUCAAAACCAUGUCUUAUUAAAUAUAAUAAAACAAAUGUAUUUUCAUAAUGCUUAGUUUUAUUUUUCAAAAUAAAGAUAACUUUUUUAGCUCUAUGAGGUUUGGCUCUUAUGAGAGCUAUUGUAACUUGUUCUUCUUUGGCAUUAAUUUUCCUCAAAUACUAAGGACCUCCUCUAGUUAGUUACUCAGAUGACUACAUACCUAAUUAGGCAGUAAGCUCCUUGCAGACAUCAUUGAAUCAUCAAUGAAGAUGCCAAUCUUCAUUCUUAUAUCGAUAGCGCAUAACUAAUAUCCAAGAGAGACUGAAUGAAGGUGAGCUAGUUAAAAUUAAUAGUGAAUGUAAAAAUUGGUUUGGUUUUCUUUUGAGAAUUAGGUUUUCUUGGGCUUCAAAAAAGCAGUUGAG
rnacentral:lncRNA from 10 species